rnacentral:rRNA from 1 species
UACGUAGGGUGGCAAGCGUUAAUCGGAAUUACUGGGCGUAAAGCGUGCGCAGGCGGUUGUGUAAGUCUGUCGUGAAAUCCCCGGGACUCACCUGGGAAAUUGGCGAUGGAGACUGCACGGCUAGAGUGUGUCAGAGGGGGGUAGAAUUCCACGUGUAGCAGUGAAAUGCGUAGAUAUGUGGAGGAACACCGAUGGCGAAGGCAGCCCCCCUGGGAUAACACUGACGCUCAUGCACGAAAGCGUGGGGAGCAAACAGG